GACACACCCUCCGCCUCCUCUACAGCCUUUGCUUCCCCCUUUUACCUCCACCUGAUUCCCAUUCUCACCCUCUUGCCGACCUCCCCAAAUUCCUUCUCCUUACCCCCAUCUCUGGCUCCUCCUUCCGGGGGGCAAUGUUGAAACUCUGGCCCCGGCCCCCCCACCACAUUUCUCUGGCUCCAUCCGGGGACGGAGCGCUUCAAGAGGGCAUGAAACAGACAUCAUGUGAGGUGUGGAGAAGCAGUGGAGAAGUGUGAAGAGACGGAAAUGUGUCCAAGAUGCAGACGCAAGUGCAGGUGAGGGCUGGAAACCUCUUCAGCUCAACAGUCCAUCUCCCGUCCCUCCCAUCUGCAACCCAAGAGGCAAAGAUGAGUAAGGAAGGCUGGGCACGAGGACAGAAGCCAAGGAGCUGCCGCUCCUUUAAAGGAGGCGGACUUGGGGACAGCAAAGCACAAAUCUUUAUUUAGACAUGAAAAAGACAGAAAAUAAAAUACAA